UUUCAAUGCAGCAGAAUGGGGAUGGUUGAGUUUCUCGCCUCUCUGUUCUGCCUGUAUUCUACCCUUGUUUGUCAUAUACUAUUAUUUCCUCGGCAGGCUUGCUUGCCGAGUGAAACCAAUUAUAACCUAUUUAAUUUUCAAUCAGCGUCUGAACAAAAUUAAUAAUUACAACUUUCAACAACGGAUCUCUUGGUUCU
rnacentral:misc_RNA from 1 species